rnacentral:rRNA from 1 species
UACGUAGGGGGCAAGCGUUGUCCGGAAUCAUUGGGUGUAAAGAGCGCGUAGGCGGCCCUGUAAGUCCGCUGUGAAAGUCAAGGGCUCAACCCUUGAAUGCCGGUGGAUACUGCAGGGCUAGAGUCCGGAAGAGGAGAGUGGAAUUCCGUGGUGUAGCGGUGAAAUGCGCAGAUAUCAGGAAGAACACCCGUGGCUAAGGCGGCUCUCUAGUACGGUACUGACGCUGAGACGCGAAAGCGUGGGGAGCGAACA